CCUGCACAGCAUACUGAAUUCAAAUGCCCCUUUCCCACUUGCACCUCAGGGUUGUAGGUUUUUCUCAGAGCAUCUUGAACAGAUAAUCAGAGCGUGCUGACAUUCAGCAGUAAUCAAUUAGCGCCUACUUUAGAUUAAAUUGAGAAUAUGUAAAUUAGGCUCCUCAUCAGGCACCACAGUCAACAUUUCAGAGACACUCACUGUGCUCUGAACAUAUCAAACAGAUGAAAUGCAGAAGUUGUUCCAAAUCCUGCUCCAAAAUGGGAGGCCAGUGCCACAGCAUCCACACCUACUGUUUAGCUAAGUUUCUGCUGGACGCAGCCCAGAAGUCCUAUGUUUGUACGUAUUCAAUGGAAAAGACUUGCCAAUGGAAGAGGAACCGCCUCUUUCUUGAGACACUGAGCAAGGAGCUUGAGAUAAGCACUGCCUUGUGCCAACCCAUCACUCAAACGUCCCACCUUUGCCGCAACCUUUCCGUCUGGCUCACGCAGAACCGCGAUAAGCCGCCGCUUUCCGCCCCACAGGGACGGGG